rnacentral:rRNA from 1 species
UACGUAGUUCGCAAGCGUUGUCCGGAUUUACUGGGCGUAAAGAGCGCGCAGGCGGCUGGUCAAGUCCGAUGUGAAAUCUCCCGGCUCAACUGGGAAACUGCAUCGGAAACUGAUCGGCUUGAAGAUGGGAGAGGGUAGUGGAAUUCCCGGUGUAGUGGUGAAAUGCGUAGAUAUCGGGAGGAACACCAGUGGCGAAGGCGACUACCUGGCCUGUUCUUGACGCUGAGGCGCGAAAGCUAGGGGAGCAAACGGG